GACGGAGGAUGCAAGUGUUAUCCGGAAUCACUGGGCGUAAAGCGUCUGUAGGUGGUUAAAUAAGUCAACUGUUAAAUCUUGAGGCUCAACUUCAAAAUCGCAGUCGAAACUAUUAGACUAGAGUAUAGUAGGGGUAGAGGGAAUUUCCAGUGGAGCGGUGAAAUGCGUAGAGAUUGGAAAGAACACCAAUGGCGAAAGCACUUUACUGGGCUAUUACUGACACUGAGAGACGAAAGCUAGGGUAGCAAAUGGG
rnacentral:rRNA from 1 species